rnacentral:rRNA from 1 species
UACGUAGGGGCCUAGCGUUGUCCGGAAUUAUUGGGCGUAAAGAGCUCGUAGGCGGUUCGGCAAGUCGGAUGUGAAAUCUCCACGCUCAACGUGGAGGGGCCAUUCGAAACUGCCGUGACUCGAGUCCGGUAGGGGAGUGUGGAAUUCCCGGUGUAGCGGUGAAAUGCGCAGAUAUCGGGAGGAACACCAAUAGCGAAGGCAGCUCGCUGGGACGUUACUGACACUGAGGCGCGAAAGCGUGGGGAGCGAACAGG